rnacentral:rRNA from 1 species
GAUGAACGCUAGCUACAGGCUUAACACAUGCAAGUCGAGGGGCAGCAUGAACUUAGCUUGCUAAGUUUGAUGGCGACCGGCGCACGGGUGAGUAACACGUAUCCAACCUGCCGAUGACUCGGGGAUAGCCUUUCGAAAGAAAGAUUAAUACCCGAUGGCAUAGUUCUUCCGCAUGGUAGAACUAUUAAAGAAUUUCGGUCAUCGAUGGGGAUGCGUUCCAUUAGGUUGUUGGCGGGGUAACGGCCCACCAAGCCUUCGAUGGAUAGGGGUUCUGAGAGGACGGUCCCUCACCUGGGAACUGAGACACGGUCCAAACUCCUACGGGAGGCAGCAGUGAGGAAUAUUGGUCAAUGGAGGAGAGUCUGAACCAGCCAAGUAGAGUGAAGGACGACUGUCCUAUGGGUUGUAAACUUCUUUUAUACGGGAAUAAAGUGAGGGACGUGUGCCUUUUUGUAUGUACCGUAUGAAUAAGGAUCGGCUAACUCCGUG